rnacentral:rRNA from 1 species
UACGUAGGGUGCGAGCGUGUCCGGAAUUAUUGGGCGUAAAGGGCUCGUAGGCGGUCUGUCGCGUCGGGAGUGAAAACACGGGGCUUAACCCCGUGCCUGCUUCCGAUACGGGCAGACUAGAGGUAUGCAGGGGAGAACGGAAUUCCUGGUGUAGCGGUGAAAUGCGCAGAUAUCAGGAGGAACACCGGUGGCGAAGGCGGCUCUCUGGACCGACACUGACGCUGAGGCGCGAAAGCGUGGGGAGCAAACAGG